CUCACCACCCAAAACCCUAGCCGCCCCCCCCAUUUGUCUUCCCCCCUCCAAGGUGCAGCCCUCCCGCGUGUUCUCCGUCGUGUGGCUGCGAUCUCAAUUGGAGUUUGGAGGGAGGAAGAAGGAAGGAGGAAGGGAAGAACCCAAGGUGAAUUCAUGUUUAACUUUUGUUGUUUUUGGGCUGCAAUCAAUUGGAUUAUGCGUUUAUCUUUGCGAAUCAGUAGAGGUGCUGUCCAGGAAUUUUGUGAGUGGGUGGACAGCAGUAGUUCUAGGGAUUUCUGGGAAUUUUCGUGGGUUAAUUAGUGAGAAUCAGUGAGAUAAUCAUGUAGAGCUUUGUCAUACCUUUCCAACGAGUACUUAUGCGCUCGAUUCGGAGUUAUAAUUUAGGAGAUAUGAUUGUUUGAAUCCGGAUAUGUUGCUGUCCAAAAAAAUAGAUUUUUCAGGUGGGUGAACAGCAGUAGUAUUAGCAGUUUCUGGGAAUUUUUCGUAGGUAAUUAGUGAUAACCAGUAUGAUAAUCAUGUAGGGCUUUAUCUUAUCUUUCCAAUGAGUACUUAUGCGCUUGAUUUGGAAUUAUAUUUUAAAAGAUAUCGCUGUUUGAAUCUGGGUAUGUCGCUGUCCAAAAGAGGAAAAAAACAGAUUACAGGGUUUAUCUUGUGGACUGUUUUGGGCUAAUUAGAUUUUAGAAUUUUAUUAUAAAUUGUAUACAAAACUUGUGGGGAAUUUAAUGUAGAUGCGUCUGGAGUUUUUGGUUGUCACCACUGAUGUCAUAAUUUUAAAGUUAUGAAAUUAUUAAGCAGCGCCGCUGCAGUUUGGUGGGUGCGGGGAAAAUUGAAACCCGUGACGGGGUUUGAGAUUGUGUGUAGGUGCGGCGUCGUUUAUGAGGCUUAUUAUGUGAAAUUGGUGCACUAAGUUGUGUGUCAAAAACAGGUGGUGGACUUCCGGAUCGUACUUAGGGAUUUGCCUAAACUUCCGGUGAAGGCAAGUAAAACAGUGAUGGUUAUUCCGUCUGUCGAAUGAAGAGUCUUAUACUUGAUUAUGUUUGUGCUAUUUGUGUUCGUGUUCAUAUUUCUAAUUGAGUACCAUCGUUGGAAGAUAUUCAUGUUUUAUUGAUUACAUAUGUUGAGUUUGUGGUUUGAUCAUGUUACCCAUGUGGUUUAUUAUGUGGAAUGGGUGGAAGUAUAUGUCUAGCACAUUUUAUUUGGGACGAACUCAUGUUGUUGACUUGCAUAAUGCAUUCAUCAUCCAUUGCAUUGAAGUUUCGUCGUGAUCUUAUGGUCCGACCGUACCGGUACAAUGAGCAUCAUAUGUUGCCCGAGAAGGGGUAUGAUGCAGCUUCAUAUCCUUAGAGAUAUGAAGGCAGAAGUCAUUAUUGCAUCUGUAGCCAUGUGCAUUCAUGGGAGAGGUGUGGAAUCUGUUAUGUGGAUGUGGAUAGUGUGGAUCUUUACAAUGUGAUUCAUCUUGGCAUUAAGUAAUCAGUUACUUGCUUACUUGGUGCAAAUUAAUAUUCAAGAAGAAAGUUUUGAACUACGUGGUUGUUUUAGCACGGUUGGUUUACAUUGUCCAAUUGUUGUUUGCUCUGUUUACUUGCUGAGAUGUGUCAUCUCACUCUUGCAUUGUCUGAUGCAGGCACCUAAUUUCUGCUUCGGGAAAGAAGGGAUGUAGCAGCACGACCACUACACCUUUAAUAAAG
rnacentral:lncRNA from 1 species